UGGAAGGCAGCCCAUCUCAGGUCCACUCUCCUCUUGCAGCCCUGUGAUGGAUAAAGCAUGUUCUUUUAGGCUUUUGCAGAAGCCUUCUGAAGAAAUUGCAAGGUCUCAGCAAGACACUGAUUUUGCAUCAGAUGCACGCCUCAGAGAGCCUGCAAGCCCUGAGCUACUGCCAACCCACAGGGAACGAGUCCAGAGGGAACAAGACAGGACCUGGCACCAGGGGGCCCUGAAGAUAUGUCAUGGAGAGGAAGUCAACACUGAAAGACUGUGAAAAAUAAAUGUACAAGGAUGUUUUAGAAUGUCUUUUAGCUUUUUGGAAGGAGAAGGCUAUCCUAAGCAAAUGGGAAACAGAACAGCUAAAAAGCUUUGGUGGGCAGAGAGGGAGCAGAGGGGAAGAUUUUAUUCCCUGGUUUAGCUGUUACUUGGUACAGAGAGCUCCCAGGAGCACUUUCUAAGGGGCCAGUGACACAGCCAGCCAUGUUUGUGGCCCUGAGCUGGACAGCAAGAACGCUGUGGAGUGUCCAUACAAAGUCACCAAACUGUUACUGGAUGCAGCAUUAGGACUGCACUUACUGAGGUGAAAAUAGAUACGUGGAUCCACCUUGGACAUGCAGUGCAUGAUUAGGAGCAUGUCAUCUUCCUCAAUAUUAGCAUGUUCUUAACUGUGCUCAGGGGAGAGGAUCCUCAGCAAUAUAAAUCAACAUCACAGGUCAAAUAAUACUGAAG
rnacentral:lncRNA from 12 species